rnacentral:rRNA from 1 species
GUGCCAGCAGCCGCGGUAAUACGUAGGUGGCAAGCGUUGUCCGGAAUUACUGGGUGUAAAGCGCGUGUAGGCGGCAGACCAAGUCGGCGGUGAAAGCGCCCGGCUCAACUGGGCGAGGUCCGUGGAAACUGGUCAGCUGGAGGACGGUAGAGGCGAGUGGAAUUCCCGGUGUAGUGGUGAAAUGCGUAGAGAUCGGGAGGAACACCUGUGGCGAAGGCGGCUCGCUGGGCCGGUCCUGACGCUGAGACGCGAAGGCGUGGGGAGCGAACGGGAUUAGAUACCCCGGUAGUCC